CUGUUUCUUUUGCGGCCUUCUUUUAUGUACAAAUCGGUUUUUUUUUUUUCUUGCAAAUAUGUGGGAAACUAGGUUUUUGGAGGUAAUGAGCCAUUGGAGGUUGAAUUUUAGAAAAUGGUGUAUGUAUAGUUUUACUUGUUUGGAGAAUAGGUUGGGAUAUUAGGUUUUUUGGUGGAUUUUGGAAAGUCGAAGAGUUUCAGAUCUGAGGAUAUAGGAAUUCCUUCUAUUGUAUUUUCUUGUUGAUUUUCACUAGACUUGCUUUGCUUAUCAGUGAUUAGUUUCGAUGAUGUUUGGCGUUGUAAUCUUAGAUGGGAAUGAUAGGAAACACGGCUUACAAGGGAAAAUGGUAUGCCCCAUUGAUUGAUAAUCCAAACUACAAAGGCAUUUGGAAGACACAUCAGAUUCCAAAUCCUGAUUACUCUGAACUUGAGAAACCUGACUUCCCCUGGGUGUCUUCUCUGAUGCGGCGGUCUCAACACAUCAGGAUCUAUGCUCUACAAAUGGUGGGAUCGGUUCAGGCAUUUUGGUGGAGGGUUGGUUGAUGGCAGGUUGCCGAGACAUGGCCAGCUUAUGCCAUUGCCAUUGAGAUUUGUACAAGGCAAGAUGGGAUCCUGCUCGACAAUAUUUUGAUAGCAACUAGUGAGAAGGUUGCUGAAUCAUACAGUGAGAUGACCCUAAGUUUGAAGUUGAGAAAGAAAAGCAGAGAGGAAGUAGUAGGGGUUGCUUCAGAUGGGCUUACAGGCAUCUAGUCUUCAGAAGGUAUUUGAUGUCCUCUACCGGAUAGUAGACAUCCCUUCUUGGAAGCUUACAAGAUCAAGAUAAUUCUUGAAGAGAUGGAUUUGCUUAGUGUUCUUCAAAUGAUUCCUUCAUGUUUUCAACUAGCGAUGACAUAACAUUGGUCUGUUGGGCUCCACUGUGGAUGGACCAUUUCAUAAUAUCUCCCAAGAUUUUGACUAAAAGGCUUUAUCAGCAUGCCUCGGCUGUCUUCUUGUGUCAAUUACAGCAAGAAGUGUGUUCGCUUGGUAGUGUUCUUUCGUGUCAUAUUGUAAGAUUCAAGCUUUUCUGGUAAGACCAACAUCUCAAAUUUUUUAUUUUUUUAUUAUUUAUGCAAUCUUAUCUUUUAUUGAAAUAUGUUUGUAGAAUCAUUGAUCCAUUAAUUGUACAACUAACAUGUUUUUUGUAUCAAAUCCAUUUUGAAUUUUAUUGUCCCUCUAGUGAAGAUGGUUUGGAUUUUUGGGGCGGCUCAUGCAGGUGAAAUACCUUUGAAUCAUGAAAGCAACUCACAAGACUCUAGAUUUUUACUUUGGCAUGUGAAAUCAUUUCUUUUAUGGACAUGAUAUGUACUAACUUAAAACCUUUUUGCAGUCAUCAGGAUAUUUGUGUUGGGAGUGGGACCUGUACCAUUUUAGUUCUGUCUUUCUUCAAUAAAGCAGUGGUGUGUCUAUAUUGAACUGAAACUUGAAUUUAAUGUCUGAAACAUGCUAGACUGGGCUCUUAGUCAAUUAGUGAGUUUUGGACUCUGUUUAGUAUCUUCGUUUCAGCAUUUCGCUAAGCAUGCACACCAUCCUUAUGUAUCUUAUUCCAUGUUGAUAUUUACAUUCAAGUUGACGUUCUUUUUAGAGUGAUGCAGAGAAGCUGUAUAAACAUCUUGCGCAUUUAAAAUCAAGACCUAUGCAAAAAUUUCAACGUAAUGGUUUCCUGGGACUUUUUGGACAAAAGGUUGAUGUUGUAGAUCACACUAAGAAGAGGUUACAAGAUUUGGAAGAGAAUGUUAGAAUGCAACAAUCAGUUGUUUCAUUGA